UCUGAAGAUAUAACUAAAGAAAUACCAAAAUGGUCAGCAAAAACAGAAAAUACGAUUCUAGAAACAAAAUUACCGAUAGUAAAAGUAGGACAAUAUAUUGUAACCACCUUAGUAGGAAAUGUUAAAUAAUGGUAUGAAAAUUUAGGAGAAGAAAUGAUAAAAGCAUUACAUGCAGCUACAGAUGCUAAUGCACAGCCUACAACAGAUGUAAGUAAAAUACUUCAAAAAUUUGUAAUAUCAAUUACAGCUGAAUUUAGUACGCCAGGAACAGUAAAUUCAAUGAUUCGUAAAAAUAUAGAAAAGCAAGAAAUAAUCUAUUAAAUUUAGUUAUUUGUGAUUUAUGCUAUUAUGAAGAAUAUGUAUGUGUAUUUAGUAAUUAUUUUCAUAAAGGAAGAUUUAAUAACAAUGAA
rnacentral:lncRNA from 1 species